GAAAUGCGAUAAGUAAUGCGAAUUGCAGAAUUUCCGUGAAUCAUCGAAUCUUUGAACGCACAUUGCGCCCGCCAGCACUCUGGCGGGCAUGCCUGUUCGAGCGUCAUUUCAACCCUCAGAACCCCUUGCGGGAUCUGGCGUUGGGGAUUGGCAUCCAGCCAGCCCCGAAAUCUAGUGGCGGUCCCUCCGCGACCUCCCCUGUGCAGUAGCGAUACCUCGCAGCGGGACAGCGGUCUGACCACGCCGUAAAACCCCCAACUUCUCAAGGUUGACCUCGAAUCAGGUAGGAAUACCCGCUGAACUUAAGC
rnacentral:misc_RNA from 1 species